AGAUUACCUUGGGGGCGGAUCGCUACCGAGAGUACGUGUCCAUCGAGAUCUUGUUAUAACCCUAGGCUGCCGCUUUGCGAUAUCUUUUCAGAUUUUAGGGAUUAAGACAAGAAGGCGAAGGAGGAAGGUACUUAUAGUCGUCUGGUUUGGGCCAUAGGAUUGAGUUUCUAGUACAAGAUAACAUCAAGUAGAGGAGGUGGCUACAUGGUUGCUCCGGGGAGCAACGGAUCUUCCGACAUUUCAAGAGAUAACUUUGAGAGUGACCCUAAAGGUUACUUUGACAAACUGCAUGGUAGUGGACAGGACAGCAAGUAACUUUGGUCUUUGUAAUUCACUCUUUAUGCAGUGAACAUGCUUAUGGUUGGUUGUUAUUACCAAAUAAUUAUCUAGUGAUCAAAUAAAAUCAUGUUUUUCUAUUUCA